AUAUGUACACACAUGCACACACGGAAUAUGUACACACAUGCACACAACAUGGCAUCCAGUCACAUACACCUGAUUGGAUAUGGAGUAAGCUGUGGUCAGAGUGAGGUGAGGUUGGUCAGAAAAAGCUUCCAAAUGGAAGAACUUCGUUGGUGUGAUUUUUCUGACCUUGAACCCAUGGCCCCAGGUAGGUGGAGAGGGCAGACUUCUGAACUGAGCAGGGACCUGCAGGAGCUUUUGCUCUCACUCAGGUACUGCUGGUUCCCUUCCCAGUGGCUCUUCUUCCCAUCUUCCCCCGAACACAAGGGCCUGGAUGGUUCAUGCUGGACAUCAUGUUAUAAGCCCAGCCUGUAUUUUGGAUUCUCCCUCUCCCUACCAUGUGUGUUUCUGGCCUUGUUGCUCCUCCUGGUUUUGGUGCAGGGUGCCUGUUCUCAAAGUGUGGUGCCAGGACUGCUCCUGUGCUGUGCGGUGACCGGGGUCCACGGCGCCCUCCCGUCAGCUCUCGGAUUUACUCAGGGUUCACGGAAGGUGUUGGGCACAGGAGGCAGAGCUCCGUGAAGCAGGGUCUGGUCAGAGUCUGAUGAGAGAUGUGCAGGAGUAGGAAAAGGCAAAGUCAUACACUGUGAGGUCACCCGAAGAAGACAAACGUGCAAAUAACAUGCAAAUAAUGAAUCCUGAGAGCUCCACUGCAGAAAUCCAGUGACCCCUGCUUCACGGCCGAGCCCCGAGACCGCCGCAGGGCCGACCCCAGGGGCGGAUGUGGGAUGCUGCGUUCAGCUGCCGAGAGUUGGAUGUGCCGACGUUUUUUGAUGGUACCUGCGCUAGACACAGGCAUGACGCAUCAAGUGGAAUUCACAGCCAGGAGUUUCCAGAGGGGACUUAUUACUGGUGGGUGCCUUUAAGGAGAGGUGGGAUAGCUUCUCCACAGCAAGACGCUCCGGGUGCGUUCUUUAGUUUUCAUGAGGGGAUAUCGGCCGCCUCCCUCGGUGCCACUGCUAAUAAAGGCAUAGACAUGAACGGCACAGAAACCUGCACCCCACCUUCUUCUCAGUGAGCAGGGGGUGCUCAGGGCACCCUAAAGGCGGAUGGAAACCAUCUCGGCUGUUGGAGGGGAAAGUGCUGAGCUGCCUGCGACCUGCACCCCACCUUCUUCUCAGUGAGCAGGGGGUGCUCAGGGCACCCUAAAGGCGGAUGGAAACCAUCUCGGGGGCGGCGCGGGGAGUGCCGAGCUACCCACGACCUGCACCCCAGGUUCUUCUCAGUGAGCAGGGGAUACUCAGGGCACCCUAAAGGCGGAUGAAAACCAUCUCGGCUGUUGGAGGGGAAAGUGCUGAGCUGCCCACAACCUGCACCCCAGGUUCUUCUCAGUGAGCAGGGGGUGCUCAGGGCACCCUAAAGGCUGAUGGAAACCAUCUCGAAGGGGGAGUGCCGAGCUGCCCACGACCUGCACGUCCAGGUCAGCACUUCCUGAUGCAGAAGGUGAAACGUCCUUCCUGAUCUCAAAAACUGUCAGUACCCCGACCCA